rnacentral:rRNA from 1 species
GACGAACGCUGGCGGCGUGCCUAAUACAUGCAAGUUGAGCGCUGAAGGUUGGUACUUGUACCAACUGGAUGAGCAGCGAACGGGUGAGUAACGCGUGGGGAAUCUGCCUUUGAGCGGGGGACAACAUUUGGAAACGAAUGCUAAUACCGCAUAAAAACUUUAAACACAAGUUUUAAGUUUGAAAGAUGCAAUUGCAUCACUCAAAGAUGAUCCCGCGUUGUAUUAGCUAGUUGGUGAGGUAAAGGCUCACCAAGGCGAUGAUACAUAGCCGACCUGAGAGGGUGAUCGGCCACAUUGGGACUGAGACACGGCCCAAACUCCUACGGGAGGCAGCAGUAGGGAAUCUUCGGCAAUGGACGAAAGUCUGACCGAGCAACGCCGCGUGAGUGAAGAAGGUUUUCGGAUCGUAAAAAUCGGUUGGUAGAGAAGAACGUUGGUGAGAGUGGAAAGCUCAUCAAGUGACGGUAACUACCCAGAAAGGGACGGCUAACUACGUG